rnacentral:rRNA from 1 species
CCUACGGGAGGCAGCAGUGGGGGAUAUUGCACAAUGGGGGGAACCCUGAUGCAGCGACGCCGCGUGGGUGAAGAAGCGCCUCGGCGCGUAAAGCCCUGUCAGCAGGGAAGAAAAUGACGGUACCUGAAGCAGAAGCCCCGGCUAACUACGGGACAGCAGCCGCGGUAAUACGUAGGGGGCAAGCUGUAUCCGGAUUUACUGGGUGUAAAGGGGGCGCAGACGGCGAUGCAAGCCAGGAGUGAACGCCCGGGGCCCAACCCCGGGACUGCUCUUGGAACUGCGUGGCUGGAGUGCAGGAGGGGCAGGCGGAAUUCCUGGUGUAGCGGUGAAAUGCGUAGAUAUCAGGAGGAACACCGGUGGCGAAGGCGGCCUGCUGGACUGCAACUGACGUUGAGGCCCGAAAGCGUGGGGAGCAAACAGGAUUAGAUACCCCGGUAGUC